rnacentral:lncRNA from 1 species
CCAAGGUCGUCAUUUUAUAAACAUGCUCAGGAAAGAGCAGAAUCACAAAUCACUGAUUGUCAAGCAGAGUUAAACAAAGUGCAGGAGCCGCACUAUUUUAAACGAGGAACACAAUUGAGAGACCAUCAGACUGGACGUUUGGAGUAAAUAAAAAUCCAUUUCUGUCUCCUGGAAUUUUCAAAUAGGAAGAUGGAGGGAGGAAGGGGAGGACAACAUUUCAGAAAAUACACCUCUUCUCAGACAUCCUUCACAUCAUCGCAAGCAUCCCUCUUUCAUUGACAAAACGGCAUUUACUCUGAAAAACAGAAAUGGAGUCAGUCUUUGAAAAUGUUUUCUA